GACGGAGGAUGCAAGUGUUAUCCGGAAUCACUGGGCGUAAAGCGUCUGUAGGUGGUCAAAUAAGUCAACUGUUAAAUCUUGAGGCUCAACCUCAAAACCGCAGUCGAAACUAUUAGACUAGAGUAUAGUAGGGGUAAAGGGAAUUUCCAGUGGAGCGGUGAAAUGCGUAGAGAUUGGAAAGAACACCGAUGGCGAAGGCACUUUACUGGGCUAUCACUAACACUCAGAGACGAAAGCUAGGGUAGCAAAUGGG
rnacentral:rRNA from 1 species